UACGUAGGCAGCAAGUGUUGUUCGGAAUUACUGGGCGUAAAGAGUGUGUAGGCGGUGCUCUAAGUCUGUUGUGAAAUCUCCCGGCUUAACCGGGAGGGUGCGGCGGAAACUGGAGUGCUUGAGGGUGGGAGAGGUAAGCGGAAUUCCUGGUGUAGCGGUGAAAUGCGUAGAUAUCAGGAGGAACACCUGUGGUGUAGACAGCUUACUGGACCACUUCUGACGCUGAGACACGAAAGCGUGGGUAGCAAACAGG
rnacentral:rRNA from 1 species